AUGAUAGCAAUGGAUGAUAGAUUUGCUUUCUGUGCACAGGUGGAUGAUGACAACAGGUUAAAGUCACUAAUGUGGACUACUGGGAGGAGUAGAUCAUUAUAUAAUCACUUUGGAGAUGCAAUAACUUUUGACACUACUUAUGGAACAAACAUCUAUAAAAUGCCAUUUGGUAUGUUUGUAGGAGUUAGUAACCACUUUGAGAGUGUAAUAUUCGCUGGAGUGUUCUUGACUAAUGAGAAGGAAGAGAAUUUAUGUUGGGCUUUUAAGCAAUUUGUUGCUAUGAUGGGUGGAAAACACCCUGUUACUAUUCUUACAGAUCGGGCUAGAGCAAUUGGAAAUAUAGUCCAGAAAGUUUUCACUCAUGCAGAACAUAGAUGGUGCAAAUGGCAUGUUCUUAAGCGGGCUCAUGAACUUCUUGGUGCUGUCUAUAGCAAGCACAAAACAUUUGUCGAUGAUUUCCAUAAGCUAGUGAACCACAUGCUAACUGUAGAAGAGUUUGAAUAUGCCUGGAAUUUCGUUACGGUAAAAUAUUGUUUGCAGGAACAUCCUUUUAUGACUAGAGCCUACGAGUGUAGGCACAAAUGGGCUAAACCAUAUUUUAGCAAAGUUUUCUGUGCUAGAAUGUGUAGCACUCAACGUAGUGAGUGUGCAAACUUUAUGCUGAAGAUACAUACAGUAUGCAAUUCUUCAAUAAAUGCAUUCAUUACCCAGUACACUAAGCUUAUAGACGAUCGUGAGAGUUGUGACGCAGAUGCCGAAAGGAAAAACAAACAGAAAAUAAUUAAGGUCCAUUUUGGAUAUCCAAUGGAGAAGCAUGCUUCAGUUAUCUAUACUGCAAAGGUUUAUAAUCUAUUCAAGAAGGAGCUCAUUAAGUCAACAUCAUACCUUGUGCUUCCUAGCAUGGAGGAACAUACUUUUAUUGUGAAGCACGUCCAGGCCGAGUCUAGGGAAUUGUGGUCGAAAGUAAUAUACAAAAUCAAAGUAGACGAGUCUAUUGGAUAUUACACUUGUGAAUGUGGACUUUACGAACAUUUUGGUGUUCUUUGUAGCCACGUCCUAGCGAUUUUUGUGCACCGAGGUGUCUGCAAAAUUUCAGAUUGUCAUAUAAUGAAGCGGUGGACAAAGCAAGCAAGGUCAUCUAGUUUCAACAAUAAGUUGGAGAAGUAUAUCGGCGACACGAACGAGGAAUCGAGAUCAUUUAGGCACAAGCUAUUAUAUUUUGCUGCAAUAGAUAUAGUUAAUGAAGCUGAAAAUGAUCAAGAUGCUUUUGCAAUUGCAAAGUCUAAUUUUACUCGCUGCAAGAAGGAAUUACAUGAGCACAGACUUUCAAAGACAACUACAUGCCAGGUUGGAUAUGGAUCAAUCCCUGAAGAUGAAGUAACUACACAUUCUGGUGUUCAACAGCAAGUCAAUGAAGUUGCUGAUUCAGGUCUUCAAAUUGUUGAUACCGCAAACAAUAUUUCAAUUCCGGUUUCUUCAAUUCUUGCGCCUGUUAUAAUGAAGAAGAACGGUAGACCUUCAAAUAAGAGGUACAUGUCUAGCAUGGAAGCAAACAUCAAGAAGAAGAAACGUGGGAAAACACCGGACCAGAAGACCAAACAUCCGGGUGGUGUGUUGGGUGUUGUCCAGUCAAGGUUUUGCAGCAAAUGUCGAUCGCCAACACACACGAUCAAAAAUUGUCCUCAGUUAUAUUUACCUUAA
rnacentral:rRNA from 1 species